UAACUUUAAAAGUCAUAAACAUUAGGUGUAAAUUGUACAAAAUUCACGAGUACAGUUAGUGAGGGAAGAGAAAUACAUCAGAACGCAAGGCGUAGAUCUUGUGGAAUAAGUUAUCAGUGUAAAAUUAGAAUCUUGUAGCUUGAGGAAGAUUGAUGAUUGGCUAUUAGAAAUAUUUGGAACGAAUUUGUGGAUCACUAAUUAGUUUAUAUAUUUGGCAGAGCUUGGCAUUGCAAUUGUAUUCUGGUUAUAGACCAUCCGACUUGAAAAUGUGUGUCCUUGCUAUUCAUGACCUGCAGUUGAACAGAAAAUCAAGCUCUCUGCAAGCGAUAAGAGAAAAAUACAUGAGACCAAAGAAUAAGAGCGUGGCGAAACUGUCUUCGCUCUCUGAAAUUCCUGCAACUUAUUUUGAGGCCAUCUACCCAUGAAUAUCUCCAAGAUCUUGAAGGAGGAAGAUGAUAUUUGAUUUGACCUAGUUUUGAAAAAUAACAUUCGAGUUUUCAACAUAACACAUUUCCUAGUAAGAGCAAGCUAAAGACAGUGCUUGCACUACACAGUUAGAUGCAGAUUGCAGAGGGGACAUUUCCUCAGCUCUGGAGAUUAUACUUUCUUUUCUUUUUUUGGGAGAAAACACAAUGUUUGUUCUCUGGACCAAAUAAUAUUUUGUAAAUUUCCAUGGAUGUGAAAUAAAGGAUAUUUUUGCUGAGGCAUAUCAA